UACGUAGGGGCAAGCGUUGUCCGGAAUCAUUGGGCGUAAAGCGCGCGUAGGCGGCCCGAUAAGUCCGCUGUGAAAGUCAAAGGCUCAACCUUUGAAUGCCGGUGGAUACUGUCGGGCUAGAGUCCGGAAGAGGCGAGUGGAACUCCUGGUGUAGCGGUGGAAUGCGCAGAUAUCAGGAAGAACACCGAUAGCGAAGGCAGCUCGCUGGGACGGUACUGACGCUGAGGCGCGAAAGCGUGGGGAGCGAACAGG
rnacentral:rRNA from 1 species